rnacentral:snRNA from 1 species
AGCAGCAGAGGUGAACACAUACCGUAUUCAACCCUCGCCUUUUACUAGAGUUGACCGUGGGUCCGCCUCUCUCAAUGCUGCCAUGCAAUUUUUCAGAACAAUGUC